CGGACAUUGUACCAGUUUAGGGGUCCAAAAUUUUUUCCGGACAUACCCAAUGAAAUUGCAAUUAAUUCAUUCUAGUAUCUCGUCCUUUACCUCAGCCGCGACGUCCGUCGCAGCUUCGGGAAAUUUCUCGACGGAUUUUGCCUUUUCCAGAGAAUGGUUUUUUUUUAUUCAAUUCGAUUCAAUUAAUUCCCCAGAAAUGUGUUUAUCAAAUUUUUUAAGGUCAUUUUUGUUGGGGGCCCCUAAAGUUCGGGAGCCCCCCGUCUCUGGACACCCUGACACCCUCCCGUUACGCC